rnacentral:tRNA from 1 species
GCGGGCGUUGCUUAGUGGUAAAGCUCCAGCCUUCCAAGCUGGAAUCACGGGUUCGAUUCCCGUCGCCCGCUCCA